rnacentral:rRNA from 1 species
CGGACGGGUGAGUAACGCGUGGAUAACCUGCCUCACACUGGGGGAUAACAGUUAGAAAUGGCUGCUAAUACCGCAUAAGCGCACAGUACCGCAUGGUACGGUGUGAAAAACCCAGGUGGUGUGAGAUGGAUCCGCGUCUGAUUAGCCAGUUGGCGGGGUAACGGCCCACCAAAGCGACGAUCAGUAGCCGACCUGAGAGGGGACCGGCCACAUUGGGACUGAGACACGGCCCAA